UGAGAGGCAGGUUCCCAUUUCCGGUUCCGGUAAGUUAUCAGAUGCCCCUCCCCUGCUGAGAUUUAGAUCAAAUGCUGAGAAACCUCAGGAGCAGAGAUAGAACAGUCCAUGGUUGUGGAAAAUACGCCACUCCCUCCCUUCGACGGGGCCUCCGAAAACGGUCUCCUCCCUGUUCGGCCCGGGACAAUUCGGCUGCGGAGGUCCCCCGGUUGGUUAAUCCGCCUUGUAACUCGGAGAAUUUUCUGUAGAAUUCUCGCCGAGGAAGAUCCCCUUUCCAUUCCACCACCUCUGUACGAUUUUCCUUCUUCCGUGAGGAAUGCCGCCAUCUAUAGAGAGAGAGAGAGAGAGAGCAAAGGAGAAGGGGACGAACCAGUCGCGGCGGUGCUUCCAAACGGCGGCGCGAAGAUCGGCGUCGUUUCUGUCCCAUCCAGGAGGAGCGGACGGGGGAUCGUCCAGAAACUUCUUGUUUUUUGUUUUCUCGUCAGACGCGGCAGGGGCUAGCGACUGCAUGGUGAUGUCUCCGUCAGACAGCACCUGGAUCUCCGGCGGGGAUGCCUCCGUCAGACGACAGCUUGAUCCAGCCUCCCGCUCCACCGCCGGGAAGGUGGCCCCGGCGGCCCCUCGCUCUCAAUUAUUUUACGCCCUCCCUUCCUCUCCUCCAUGAAUGCGUCCGCAGAAGCUCUCCACUCCAGACGACGAUCUGAGAUUCCAGUUCUCCCGGCCGGAAUGGAGGGGGCGAGGCGACCUCCGUCUUCUCCGGGAAAGGUAAUGCGCUCUGCCGACUGGGGAGGCGUCCUCUCCCUCCGCCGCUUCCCGCGCCGUGGCGAUCUGCAGAUUCCCCUCACAAACGGAGGAAGAGGAGGAGGAGGAGAGGGAAGGAAGCCCUCCGAAUGCCAC
rnacentral:lncRNA from 1 species